rnacentral:rRNA from 1 species
AACGAACGCUGGCGGCAGGCCUAACACAUGCAAGUCGAACGCCCUAGCAAUAGGGAGUGGCAGACGGGUGAGUAACGCGUGGGAACCUUCCCAGUGGUACGGAAUAACCCAUCGAAAGAUGGGCUAAUACCGUAUACGCCCGCAAGGGGAAAGAUUUAUCGCCAUUGGAUGGGCCCGCGUCGGAUUAGCUAGUUGGUAGGGUAACGGCCUACCAAGGCGACGAUCCGUAGCUGGUCUGAGAGGAUGAUCAGCCACACUGGGACUGAGACACGGCCCAGACUCCUACGGGAGGCAGCAGUGGGGAAUAUUGGACAAUGGGCGCAAGCCUGAUCCAGCCAUGCCGCGUGAGUGACGAAGGCCUUAGGGUUGUAAAGCUCUUUUGGCGGGGACGAUAAUGACGGUACCCGCAGAAUAAGUCCCGGCUAACUUCGUGCCAGCAGCCGCCGUAAGAC